ACACAAAGUGAUAGAGGCAGUCAGGUUGAUAUACCAAUCCAUGUGUAAAACCGUGCACACUGGAAACCUACGCCUUUCUAUUUUUUUUACUCCCUACCACUCUCCAGCUGAAUGGCCUGUUCUGAGCUGCCAGCUGGGCGCUGCGUGCACCUCACAAGGGAGAGGAAGACACUGCCAGACACAGCUAAAGAGCAUUCAGGCUUGCAACACAGUCCCUUUCGACGCGCCUCACAGCAAUGAUUUCAGCCAGGCAGAGACACCACAGAGAAAGGAUGGGACGGAAAGGAUGACAGAAAAGCUGAAAUACCACAUGCUUCAGCAACUGGAUGAAGGAAACACUAAUCCACUACAGUUGAUGCCAACUCCGCCGCCAUUCAGUCUCUACCAGCUCUGCAAAUAACAGGUGCAUCUGAGGGGCGUUGUUGGGAUUUCAGAACAUUCAGGCCUCAGUCUAAAAUGUGUUUCAGACCGAGCUGUAGCAGCAGGAAUACAAGAAAACACACUAAGAAAAUAUGUGAAAGCUCAAAGCAAAGCAGAGUGACUGACAGAGAGAUGCUGAAAGGAACUGAAUUUUAAAAACUCUAUUCAAAUGCGUAAGAAAGUAUAUGCACAAUCGAUCAAUGGAAAUGUGUAAAAAAUAUCAUACUUAUACUGUCUUAUACAUCUGAGAAAAUAUAUUUGAAGAAGCCCUGGGUGUUGUGGGAUGUGACAUUAUCUAACAAUAGAAGAACAUCUAUUGUUUCAUAUUAUGCUCUAUCGUAUAUUUCAUUGUUCUGCAAAUCACUCUUUGUGACUUUAUUUUUCAGCAUGCAGACACACCACACAACACAGCUGCAGACAGGGAAUUUGCUUGAAAGCAACAAAAACAAACAUGGAGGAGAAUGAAUGUGUCACAGAAGUCCGACCAGCCGUGGUCCCGGUUUGGUUUCGGUAUAAAAAGACUAAGAAUCCGUAUUUUUUUGCAAACUAUGCCGCAGACCAGCCUCCACUACAGACUCAAAACACUGCGAAUGAGAGCCACAAAAGUAAACUCCAGAGCUCAAAGAAAUACCUCAGGCUCAAACCCUGCAAGAGGCUUUUGCCCGCAGCACAACAUAUGGCAAAGAACCACGAAGAUAAGAGGAGAUCACAGCUGCUGCUGCAACUCACAUCUGGAAAGACAUGGCUCCAAUUUACAACAUUGAGAAAAAAGUAAGACUAAAGAGUAACAAGUAAAGAUAUGUAUUGUUCUCUGGAUAUGAAAUUGAGAUAUGAGAUUUUGGUCACUUGGCACAACCUGUAUUCAUUUUUGUUAAAACAGCAAAUAUUUACAUACAGACCAA